GAUCUCAAAUCAGGCGGGACUACCCGCCGAACUUAAGCAU
rnacentral:rRNA from 1 species